rnacentral:ncRNA from 1 species
AAAACAAGUGCUAUUUCAAUAGCCUGAUAUUUUGCUUUCCGAGUAGUGCCUUUUCAAAAGGCACUUUUUUUAUGUC